rnacentral:tRNA from 1 species
GCCCGGCUAGCUCAAUCAGUAGAGCGUGAGACUCUUAUAGAGUGAAAUCUCCGUAAUCUCAAGGUUGUGGGUUCGACCCCCACGUCGGGGU